rnacentral:rRNA from 1 species
UACGAAGGGGGCUAGCGUUGCUCGGAAUCACUGGGCGUAGAGGGUGCGUAGGCGGGUCUUUAAGUCAGGGGUGAAAUCCUGGAGCUCAACUCCAGAACUGCCUUUGACACUGAGGAUCUUGAGUUCGGGAGAGGUGAGUGGAACUGCGAGUGUAGAGGUGAAAUUCGUAGAUAUUCGCAAGAACACCAGUGGCGAAGGCGGCUCACUGGCCCGAUACUGACGCUGAGGCACGAAAGCGUGGGGAGCAAACAGG